GUAGGUGGCAAGCGUUGUCCGGAAUUAUUGGGCGUAAAGCGCGCGCAGGCGGGGUCCUUUAAGUCUGAUGUGAAAGCCCACGGGCUCAACCGUGGAGGGUCAUUGGAAACUGGGGGACUUGAGUACAGAAGAGGAAAGCGGAAUUCCAAGUGUAGCGGUGAAAUGCGUAGAGAUUUGGAGGAACACCAGUGGCGAAGGCGGCUUUCUGGUCUGUAACUGACGCUGAGGCGCGAAAGCGUGGGGAGCAAACAGGAUUAGAUACCCUGGUAGUCCACGCCGUAAACGAUGAGUGCUAAGUGUUAGGGGGGUUUCCGCCCCUUAGUGCUGCAGCUAACGCAUUAAGCACUCCGCCUGGGGAGUACGGCCGCAAAGGCUG
rnacentral:rRNA from 1 species